CGUACGCUAUAAGCAAAAUGUCACCUCAAUAUUUAUUGUUUUCGUUUAGAGAAAAGAGGAAACAUGUAGAGUAGUCUGAAAGAUACCAGAGAUUUUAAAUACAUAAGGAAGGAUCCAUUAAUAUUGUCAUAAUUUUAGAAAAAGCUUCAUUGUUUAAUCUUUUUGUUUUUAAUUAGCUUAUCAUUGUUUCAUCUCCCCCAUUGAACUAUAAAUCUUCUAAUUGUGCAACAGUACUGCUGCUCUGUGAGCUCUUAUUCUAUUUCUAAUAUAGCUUCCGCCAACUUCACUAUCAAAAAAAAGAAAAAAAAA
rnacentral:lncRNA from 1 species